UCUCCGUGGGAACAGGAGGUGUCCCCUUACGACCCCCCUGGCGUGGCAGGAACUUACGGUGUCUCCUCACGACGCCCAUGGAAGGGCGUGAACGGGUGUCCCCUCACGACCCUCGGAGAAGGGCGGGAACAGUGUCUGUCCCCUCACGAUCCCCGUCUGACGGGAGUGUCCCCUCAGGGCCCACAUGGCAGGGCAGGCACCGGGGCUGUCCCCUCGCGGCCGCCGCCCGUGGCGAGGGGACCGCGUUCCCCCUCAGCCGAGAGAAUCCACGCUGUAAUUCCCGUCACUAAGCGCUGCUUGUUGUCCCCCAGCUCUUGGGGCCAUGUGGAACACGGCCCCUCUGUGCGCCCUGGGCAGGGGCCGCCCCGGGCCCUCCCUGAUCCGCCUGUUCCAGAAGGAAUAUCGGGAGCUCCUGUUGCACGGCCAGGGCUGGGGAAGGACGCACCAUCUGCCGCCCCGCCGAUUUGUGAGUAAUAAGUCGAAAUACAGGCGGCACCCCAGAACGUACCCGGUUCUGGACGGACGUGUCCUCGCUGUACACCGACAUGUGUUCGAACAGAAUUUAAGGAACAGCGAGGCUGUGGUUAAAAGAUACUCGGAAUUGUUGGAGAGGGUGAGGAAAGGAGGGGGAGAAAACGCCAUCCUGCGCCACACUCAGCGCAACAAGAAGCUGUUUGUUAGGGAGCGCCUGAAGCUGCUGCUGGAUGAUGAGUCUUUCCUGGAGCUGUCCCCUCUGGCAGGGCUCAACAUGUCCUAUGGGGAUGUCCCUGCUGCUGGGUGCCUCACUGGAAUUGGCAAAAUCUGUGGAAUAUGGUGUGUCUUUGUGGCAAGUGAUGCCACUGUGAAAGGAGGAACUAUUUACCCAAUUGGAGUGAAAAAACAGUUAAGAGCCCAAGAAAUUGCCAUGGAGAACAGGCUGCUGUCUGUGCACCUUGUGGACAGUGGAGGAGCAUUCCUACCACUGCAGUCAGAGCUGUUUCCUGACAAGCUGCACGGUGGCAGGAUUUUCUACAAUGAAGCAAUCAUGUCUGCCAUGGGAAUCCCUCAGGUGGCCGUAGUGUGUGGCUCCUGUGUUGCUGGAGGUGCCUACGUGCCCACCAUGGCCGAGGAAGCCGUGAUCAUAGAUAAAAUUGGGACACUGUUCCUGGCUGGCCCACCACUUGUAAAAGCUGCUACAGGAGAAUACGUGUCUCCUGAGGACCUUGGAGGAGCCAAACUUCACUCACAAGUCAGUGGCUGUACUGACCAUUUUGCACCUUCAGAAAAGGAGGCCUAUGAAUGUAUUCGCAAUGUUAUCUCUACGUUAAACUAUGACCCAGUGCCAGAGGAGGACACAGAGCACGACAGUCCCCUGUACAGCUCUGAGGAGCUCCUGGGACUGGCACCACAGGACUACAGGUGUACUCUUCCUGUCAAACUGAUUCUGAGCCGUUUGGUGGAUGGAAGCAGAUUCCAGGAAUUCAAGGCUAAUUAUGGAACAACAUUAGUAACAGGAUUUGGCCAUGUGGAAGGGUACUUGGUGGGGAUAGUGGCCAACAACGGGGAGCUGGCUCAUGAUGCUGCGCUCAAGGGCAGCCACUUCGUCCAGCUCUGUGGCCAGCGGGGAAUUCCCAUCAUCUUCCUCCAAAAUACUCCUCCACAGCCAGCAGAGCCAACAAGCAUCUCACAGGCAGAGGCUCAUUCCAACAGGCUGAAAGCCCAGGCUUCCAUGAUGGCUGCUGUUGCUUGUGCUGCUGUUCCCAAAAUCACCAUCGUCAUCGGGGGCUGUUACGGGAGCGACAGCUACGUCAUGUGUGGGAGAUCGUUCAGUCCAAACUUUCUGUUCCUGUGGCCUAAUGCAAGAGUUGCUCUUGUGGAUUCAAGAAGUUUCUCCACAGUCCCCCAAGCUGGGGACAGUGACUGUACAGAUGAAUCAGAGCUGAAACAGCUGAAGGCAAAGCUCGAGGAAGAAAGCAGUGCAUUUUACUCCUCUGCCAGACUCUGGGAUGAUGGAAUCAUUCUACCUCAAAACACUAGAAAGGUGAUUGCCCAGUGCUUGGACAUCAUGGAACAGCACAAGUACCAGGCCGUGUCUCCAUGUCGCUAUCCCAUCAUCAGGAUGUAAUCUCCACCCUCAAACCAGCAGCCCUGCAGAGCCAGCACCACCUGCCAGAACUCUGAGUGCAUCUUUCACUCUGCUGCAGCUACAAGGAUUAAAUUUAUAAAAAUGGAACCACCACCACACCAAACUUGGGGUGUUUUAACUGGAAAUUAUGCCAAAGGUUGUAUUUAAAAAAUAC